rnacentral:rRNA from 1 species
GAUGAACGCUGGCGGCGUGCCUAAUACAUGCAAGUCGAGCGAACAGAUGAGGAGCUUGCUCCUCUGACGUUAGCGGCGGACGGGUGAGUAACACGUGGAUAACCUACCUAUAAGACUGGGAUAACUUCGGGAAACCGGAGCUAAUACCGGAUAAUAUAUUGAACCGCAUGGUUCAAUAGUGAAAGACGGUUUUGCUGUCACUUAUAGAUGGAUCCGCGCCGCAUUAGCUAGUUGGUAAGGUAACGGCUUACCAAGGCAACGAUGCGUAGCCGACCUGAGAGGGUGAUCGGCCACACUGGAACUGAGACACGGUCCAGACUCCUACGGGAGGCAGCAGUAGGGAAUCUUGCGCAAUGGGCGAAAGCCUGACGGAGCAACGCCGCGUGGGUGAUGAAGGUCUUCGGAUCGUAAAACUCUGUUAUUAGGGAAGAACAAAUGUGUAAGUAACUAUGCACGUCCUGACGGUACCUAAUCAGAAAGCCACGGCUAACUACGUG